rnacentral:rRNA from 1 species
CUCUGUGACUCCUACGGGAGGCAGCAGUGGGGAAUAUUGCACAAUGGGGGAAACCCUGAUGCAGCCAUGCCGCGUGUGUGAAGAAGGCCUUCGGGUUGUAAAGCACUUUCAGUAGGGAGGAAGGUAGUGUAGUUAACACCUGCAUUAUUUGACGUUACCUACAGAAGAAGCACCGGCUAACUCCGUGCCAGCAGCCGCGGUAAUACGGAGGGUGCGAGCGUUAAUCGGAAUUACUGGGCGUAAAGCGCAUGCAGGCGGCCUGUUAAGUCAGAUGUGAAAGCCCGGGGCUUAACCUCGGAAUUGCAUUUGAAACUGGCAGGCUAGAGUCUUGUAGAGGGGGUAGAAUUUCAGGUGUAGCGGUGAAAUGCGUAGAGAUCUGAAGGAAUACCCAGUGGCGAAGGCGGCCCCCCUGGACAAAGACUGACGCUCAGAUGCGAAAGCGUGGGGAGCAAACAGGAUUAGAUACCCUGGAG